rnacentral:rRNA from 1 species
UACGGAGGGAGCUAGCGUUGUUCGGAAUUACUGGGCGUGAAGCGCACGUAGGCGGCUUUGUAAGUUAGAGGUGAAAGCCCGGGGCUCAACCCCGGAAUUGCCUUUAAGACUGCAUGGCUUGAAUCCAGGAGAGGUGAGUGGAAUUCCGAGUGUAGAGGUGAAAUUCGUAGAUAUUCGGAAGAACACCAGUGGCGAAGGCGGCUCACUGGACUGGUAUUGACGCUGAGGUGCGAAAGCGUGGGGAGCAAACAGG